GGCAAGAGCACAUUUUUAGAAAUUUCCAGUACCCUUGUUAUUUUUCUUUGAAUUUUGUCAUGUGUUUACUGUAUGACUGUCAUAUCUGCAGUUCUCUCUGCUCCAAUCAUGUUUUUGAACAUCUCUAAUCUUUAAUGAAUCAGCACCUAAUAAGAAAGCACAGAGAACCCUGCUUUUGUAUGUGUGGUUAACCAGUGCUCUGCAUACAGUAACAGAAGCAAUGCAGCACUGUUAUGAUGUUCCUACCUACAGUACUUUCAAAUCAUAUCAAGUCAUUAUCGUUCAGAGAUUACUAGAAUGAGGGACUGUAAAAUGAGACUUGAUGUCUUUAAAAGAGAAGCUAAAAACUUACAUUUCUAUCAUUUUACAUAUUUUCUAUUUAACACAUUUCUAUUAUGGGUUAGGGCUGGAUUGAAUAUAAAUAAAUUGACUACUAUUUUGAACCCAGAGAAGACAACUGGAACAUACAACCAAUGGAUUUUGGAGGGUCAAACUUGCUGCAAAUUUGCUCAAGGCCCGUCUGUAGAGAAACACAUUCUUUUGACAGAAGAAGCUGUGGCUGAUGAGCUGUCAUCUAGUCAAGCUCAGGUAUAUCAUUAUACAGACAGAAUUAUUUUAGGAAUAUGAAUGAUGCACAAUCUCUACAAAUGCCUGUAUGAAUAUUUCAGAUUUCCAUCCAAUGUAAACAGAACUCUGAGGGUCAAGACGGAAUGGUGCUGUUUGACACGGAAGCCUUUCCUGUUGUCAACAUCCACUGUCAUACCAGUGCAGAAGAUCUUCCUGAAGGUCAAUGGAAACAGCAGUAGAUCUCUGCAGAUCUCCUCAUCGGUUAUUUGGGGAUUUUAGCAUCAGAAAUGCUAUUGUAACUAAAGAGCCUAUGCAUACUGGUGUGGAUUAACCAUUACAGAAACAUACAAAAAAUAUUUUGGUAAUCAUUAUUACUGUGGCACAAACCUAACACUUGGUGCUGGUCUAAUAAAUUUGUUAAGUGUCCCUAAUGUGUUGUUGUG
ensembl:lncRNA